rnacentral:tRNA from 1 species
UCUAAAGUGGCAGAUUAAUGCAUUAGAUUUAAGCUCUAAUAAUAGGGCUCUCCCCCUCUUUAGAA